rnacentral:rRNA from 1 species
AGCUCCAAUAGCGUAUAUUAAAGUUGUUGUGGUUAAAAAGCUCGUAGUUGGAUUUCGGCGGGUAGUGGUUGGUUUGAAUUGAUUCAACACUGACUUUUUUACCCGUGUGUUUUGCCAGAAUCUUACGGGUGAUCUUUACCGAUUGUCCGUUGGAACUGGCAGGUUUACUUUGAAAAAAUUAGAGUGUUCAAAGCAAGCUUACUGCUUGAAUAGUUGCGCAUGGAAUAAUAGAAUAGGAAGUCGUUUCUAUUUUGUUGGUUUGCGUUACGAAGUAAUGAUUAAUAGGGACAGUUGGGAGUAUUCGUAUUUCGUUGUCAGAGGUGAAAUUCUUGGAUUUCCGAAAGACGAACUACUGCGAAAGCAUUUACCAAGGAUGUUUUCA